rnacentral:rRNA from 1 species
UACGUAGGGUGCGAGCGUUAAUCGGAAUUACUGGGCGUAAAGCGUGCGCAGGCGGUUAUUUAAGUCAGGUGUGAAAGCCCCGAGCUUAACUUGGGAAUAGCGCUUGAGACUGGAUAGCUUGGAGUGUGGCAGAGGGAGGUGGAAUUCCACGUGUAGCAGUGAAAUGCGUAGAGAUGUGGAGGAACACCGAUGGCGAAGGCAGCCUCCUGGGCCAGCACUGACGCUCAUGCACGAAAGCGUGGGGAGCAAACAGG